rnacentral:lncRNA from 1 species
CAUAUAACUAACACGCUUGCUAGUAACCAUGUCGAUGGUUACUAGCAAGCGAUGUAUGUGAAGCAGGGGCUGGACUGUGUGGAACUUCAGGUCGGCGAUGGCAAAGUUGAGAGCCUCUGGGUAAGGAUCAAGGGACGAACGAAUAAAGGGGAUGUCGUUGUGGGAGUCUAUUACAGACCGCCUGGCCAGGACGAUAGCGCCGAUAACUUAUUCUUUACAGAACUAAGAGAGGCCUCGAGAUUAACUCCCCUUGUCCUUAUGGGGGACUUCAACUUGCCAGACGUUAACUGGGAGUGCCACACGGCUGACACGAGCAAGUCCAGGAGGUUCAUGAAGCACCUAGAUGAUAACUUUUUGGUGCAGGUGCUAACGGAGCCAACUAGGAAAGGUGCCCUCCUAGACCUGUUGCUAGAAAACAGAGAGGGUCUGGUGGGAGAUGUGGUGAUUGGUGGCCGCCUCGGUCAUAGCGACCAUGAAGUGGUUGAGUUCAAAAUUUACGGUGACAGAAGGAAAAGUGCCACCAAAACCUCAUCCCUAGAUAUGGGGAAGGCGGACUUCAGGCUGCUCGGGGAACUAGUCAGCAAGGUCCCCUGGGAAGCUGCUCUUGAAGGCCUUGAUGUCCACCAGUGCUGGUCACUCUUUAAGCGAUGCCUCCUAGAAGCACAAGAUCAGGCAAUUCCUAAAUAUCGCAAGUCAGGCAGGCGGGGCAGGAGGCCGUCGUGGCUGACCAGGAACAUUCUUAUGGAGAUUAGGCGGAAACAGAGAGUGUUUCGCUACUGGAAGGAGGGCCAGGUGACAUGGAAAGAAUACAGGGAUGCUGCUCGUGUCUGUAGGAAGAAAAUUCGUGUGGCUAAAGCACACCUAGAGUUGAAGCUGGCUGUGUCUGUGAGAGAAAAUAAAAAGGGUUUUUUUAGAUAUGUGAAUGGAAAAAGAAGAACUAAAGAAUACAUAGGGCCGCUCCUUGACAGGGAAGGUCUUCUCACAGACGAUGACAUAGGCAAAGCAGAGACGCUUAACGCCUUCUUUGCCUCUGUCUUCAAUGCCGAUGAUGGGCUUCGGGACCCAGGGUGCCCCGAGCUGGAGGACCGGGACGGUGGGGAUGACAAACUCCCAACCGACCCUGAACGUGUGCGGGAUCUGCUACUCCACCUGGAUCCCUACAAGUCCAUGGGUCCGGAUGGGAUUCAUCCCCGGGUGCUGAAGGAGCUGGCGGACGUCAUCGCGGAACCUCUCUCAAUUAUUUUUCAACGAUCCUGGGAGUCUGGAGAGGUCCCGGUAGACUGGAAGCUGGCAAAUGUUGUGCCGAUUUUCAAGAAGGGUCAGAAAGAAGACCCUAGCAAUUACAGGCCUGUCAGUCUCACGUCAGUGCCUGGUAAAAUCAUGGAGAAGAUGGUUCUCGAACGUAUUGAGGCGCACCUGGGGGACAAAGCAGUCAUUGGUCCCAGCCAGCAUGGGUUUGUGAAGGGUAGGUCCUGCCUAACUAACCUGAUUUCCUUUUAUGAUAAGAUCACCCGUAUGGUAGACCAAGGGAAACCAGCUGAUGUGAUUUUUUUGGACUUCAGCAAGGCUUUUGACACGGUUUCCCAUAGGAUCCUACUGGACAAAAUGUCCAGCAUACAGCUAAAUAAAAACAUCAUACGAU